GAGCUUGCUCCCUUAGGUCAGCGGCGGACGGGUGAGUAACACGUGGGUAACCUGCCUGUAAGGCUGGGAUAACUCCGGGAAACCGGGGCUAAUACCGGAUGCUUGAUUGAGCCGCAUGGUUCAAUUAUAAAAGGUGGCUUUCAGCUACCACUUACAGAUGGACCCGCGGCGCAUUAGCUAGUUGGUGAGGUAACGGCUCACCAAGGCGACGAUGCGUAGCCGACCUGAGAGGGUGAUCGGCCACACUGGGACUGAGACACGGCCCAGACUCCUACGGGAGGCAGCAGUAGGGAAUCUUCCGCAAUGGACGAAAGUCUGACGGAGCAACGCCGCGUGAGUGAUGAAGGUUUUCGGAUCGUAAAACUCUGUUGUUAGGGAAGAACAAGUACCGUUCGAAUAGGGCGGCACCUUGACGGUACCUAACCAGAAAGCCACGGCUAACUACGUGCCAGCAGCCGCGGUAAUACGUAGGUGGCAAGCGUUGUCCGGAAUUAUUGGGCGUAAAGCGCGCGCAGGCGGUUUCUUAAGCCUGAUGUGAAAGCCCCCGGCUCAACCGGGGAGGGUCAUUGGAACUGGGGAACUUGAGUGCAGAAGAGGAGAGUGGAUUCCACGUGUAGCGGUG
rnacentral:rRNA from 1 species